GAUGAACGCUGGCUACAGGCUUAACACAUGCAAGUCGAGGGGAAACGACGGGGAAGCUUGCUUCCCCGGGCGUCGACCGGCGCACGGGUGAGUAACGCGUAUCCAACCUGCCUCUGACUGAGGGAUAACCCGUCGAAAGUCGGCCUAAUACCUCAUGGUAUCGUCUGCGGGCAUCCAACGACGAUUAAAGAUUUCAUCGGUCAGGGAUGGGGAUGCGUCUGAUUAGCUUGUUGGCGGGGUAACGGCCCACCAAGGCUACGAUCAGUAGGGGUUCUGAGAGGAAGGUCCCCCACAUUGGAACUGAGACACGGUCCAAACUCCUACGAGAGGCAGCAGUGAGGAAUAUUGGUCAAUGGGCGAGAGCCUGAACCAGCCAAGUAGCGUGCAGGAAGACGGCCCUAUGGGUUGUAAACUGCUUUUAGGCGGGGAUAAAGUGAGGGACGUGUCCCUCAUUGCAGGUACCGCAUGAAUAAGGACCGGCUAAUUCCGUG
rnacentral:rRNA from 1 species